GACGUAGGGGCCGAGCGUUGUCCGGAGUUACUGGGCGUAAAGCGCGCGCAGGCGGACCCACGCAUCCUCGGUGAAAGCCCCCCGCUUAACGGGGGAGGGUCCGGGGAGAUGGUGGGUCUGGAGGCAGGGAGAGGCCAGUGGAAUUCCGGGUGUAGUGGUGAAAUGCGUAGAGAUCCGGAGGAACACCGGUGGCGAAGGCGGCUGGCUGGACCUGUCCUGACGCUGAGGCGCGAAGGCGUGGGGAGCGAACAGG
rnacentral:rRNA from 1 species